CCUACGGGAGGCAGCAGUGGGGAAUAUUGCACAAUGGGGGAAACCCUGAUGCAGCGACGCCGCGUGAGUGAAGAAGUAUUUCGGUAUGUAAAGCUCUAUCAGCAGGGAAGAAAAUGACGGUACCUGAGUAAGAAGCCCCGGCUAACUACGUGCCAGCAGCCGCGGUAAUACGUAGGGGGCAAGCGUUAUCCGGAUUUACUGGGUGUAAAGGGAGCGUAGAAGGCAGCACAAGUCUGGAGUGAAAUGCCGGGGCUUAACCCCGGAACUGCUUUGGAAACUGUGCAGCUAGAGUGCAGGAGAGGUAAGUGGAAUUCCUAGUGUAGCGGUGAAAUGCGUAGAUAUUAGGAGGAACACCAGUGGCGAAGGCGGCUUACUGGACUGUAACUGACGUUGAGGCUCGAAAGCGUGGGGAGCAAACAGGAUUAGAUACCCCUGUAGUC
rnacentral:rRNA from 1 species